UACAAAGGUCCUGUGUUUCUGACAAGUGGGUCCAUGCGGGGUCUGAGUAAAAAAGCGCGAGACAAAAGCGGCUGUGUAAACCGGGUCCAUGCACCUUCUCUUGCGCGGACCGUCGAUUAAAGCGGUGUACGGCAGCGAUGGGCCUAUGAGGGCGUCGGGUUGUGAUGGACCCUCUUCGGGGGCUUUUAAUACUUCUGGUCCCACGUACAGAGGGGCCUGCCCUUGCCACGCGGUCGCGGAUAAGACGAGACGCUGACAUGCGGACCGUGUUUGGUUGGGCCUACUGGUCAGUGUUUGAACUGAGUUGGUAACUUAUAAUGACGUGUUGGUGACGGAGAAGGAGUCGUGGGGGAAUGGAGAAAUGAUGUCGACAUAGUGUGGUCAGAGGGAUCGCGGCCCCGCUGUGGUCGAUGGGGAUUCCUUUAAUUAGCAUCCGUUUGGUCAGCUUAUUGGGCUGGCACAGAGUGCCAUCUAAUGGGCAUGGGCCCAACAGUAGUACAAGAAUCCUCAGCUAGUUAAAGAAAAAACUAUAAACGGGAACAGGAGUUGUUGUUCUGUCAAGAAAACCCUAGCCGUCGUUUUGAGUAAAUUUCAAUUUCCAGCGGUUCCUCUCGUUUCUCAUGGCGAUCUAUCCUCUAGAGACGAGGGGAACCACGGAUCAACGUCAUGCGGCUUUUCAAAAUCUACGAGGUUAGUUCAGAUUAUGCAAGCAUAUUAUUCUGCAAUUUUGUCAACGAAUACAUGGAGAAGCAUCAAGAUGCGAAGGAUAAAUCAAGAGAAGUUUAUUUCGAACAACUACGACGAAGCUUUUAGUUUUGUUGAGUAUCUUUAUUAUUUGUGUUCGUUCGUGUAUCAAUCUUAUGUACUUUGUCUUUGAAUCAAUAAAGCCAGAUCGUUGCUCUAAAAAAAAGUUAAAGAUAAAACUACUAGUGAAGAGCAUUCGCUCAACAAAAAAAAAACUGAUCUACUCGCCCACGCUACGUCUGGCCUCGCUGCGCCGCCAAAACUCCGGCAUGGAGCUCCUCGAAGCGGCCCUCACGGAUUUCACUGGCACGCACAACUAAUCGUAGCUGCCAGUAGUCCUCGGCUCCCACCGGCGCCUUCCCGCCAUGGUCUCGAACCUGGUUUUGGCGGCGGCCACAUGCGGGUGGCAGGCAACGGUGUCGUCCUAUGAGCUGUCCCGGCCGGCUCUCCUCCGUUCCAUCCUACUGCGGCGGUUUCCGAAUCGAUCUCUGCCACGGCCGCACCUAGUGUUGGGCAGCAAAAGUAGACUGUAAUACCCUGAAUUUUUAUAAAGGUUAAUUUCAGAUUGGAACGAAAGAAUUGACCAGAAUUUGACUUUCCGAAUCACAGGCCGUACGGAAAAUCGAAGACCACGGUUAGAUUCGUCUCGUCCAGUUGAUCGAAAUUGACUAUAGGUUCGUCAAUUUCGGAGCCCGGAUCAAUUUGCCGCAACACCCUUUAUUUUCAGCCUUUAAGUGAAUUUGGAAUUAAAGAAAAAAAAAACCCAGCGUGCGGUGUGGAACUGAGUCGGAGAAGGAUCGGGGACCUUGGUUUAAUCCCCUGUUUUACUGCCCAAGGCCGAGAGCAACCCCAGCCGCCAACGCCUAGGGUUAGUUCGCCGUUGCCGCCGUCACGAGCUCGCCUCUGCUGCUGUCUGGUGACUGCCCUGCUGCUGGUGCCGCCGUGGUUGCAGUCCGCGCUGCUCGCCGUCGUUGGAGUCCUCGUUGGUCGCCGUCGCUACUGCCAGGUACGAGUUGGGCUGUUUCUCUGCCGCCUGGAAGUAUUUUCCUCGCUCGCUGCAACUCGUUCCAGUGAAUUGAAUUGACAAGUUCUGCUCUAGCUGCUGUUGCCCGAUUGAAUCAACUGCUAGUUCAAGCCGCUGGUUGUUUAGCACCUGGAAUUAGUACACUGCUGUUUAGCACCUGGAAUUGUUGCUAGAAGCUGUGUGCAUCGAAUUGAGGUGGCUUGUUUGGUCAGCUUCAGCAGCAUGUCAGGUUUUAGAUGGAUUGUUCUUUUAACCAGAAAGGCUAUCAGUACAUAACAAGUUUGGCAAGUCUGUACUUUUCUGUUUAUUGGAAACAAGACACGAAUCUGGUUUGGUUGGUCUUGGUAAAAGUAAUAAAAUGAGCAGAUUGUGGCUUAAGUUUAAAUGCCUUGUCCAGCCAUGUUUAGUUGUCAGCUCUUUUUAUUAAAUCUUAGGAUUUGAGUUGGUAUUAAGACUUGCUUUACCCCACCGGUCCAGGAGUUUCGGGUAUGAGGCAUAAAUCUGCAGAUUAAUUGUCCGUCCUAUUUCGGGAUUAAGGCAAGUACAUGACGAGCCCCCUUUGACAUUGUUUGCCAACGUUGUUUGGUUAUCCGAGUUGAUAUUUGAAUUCCUUGGGGUUUGUGCUAUCGGAAGGUUUUGUUUUAAGCCAGGGCGGUGAGUAAGUUAUAGACGGUGAGAAAGUUAACGGUGAAUAUUCCAGAAUGCUCCAAUCAAAAAAAAGCGAUGCCACCGAGGCGUCGUGGUCGUGGUGGAGGUCGUGGAAACAAUGGGGGCGGCGGUAGCGACGCAAAUCAGCCUACUGGUAGCAGUCACGGAGAUGCAGAAGCAUCUGUGAGCCAAUCUAGUGAUCAUGAUGCCCCUGCUCCAACUAUGACGCUCAGCAAGUGGUUGGCCAUGCGCUUGGACACUUUUGAUGGAACAGGGACACCCAUGGAGGCAUCAAGUUGGUUGCACACAAUGGAGAAGUACAUGGGUGCCUUAGUGAUGACCCCGCAGGAAAGGGUUGUCUUUGUAGAUUUUCAGCUAAAGGGUUUGGCUGAUGUGUAACAUCCCAAUUUUCAAAACUCUUCAUAUGCAUUGCAUAUCAUAAGCAUCAUGUCACCCUUGCAUUUAAUCAUUUUCAAAACCCUAAAA